rnacentral:rRNA from 1 species
UCGCUCCUCGCCGCUGGCCUGGUCGCAGUGGGCCUCGGAGGCGUCGCGCUGCUGGUGUGGUGGGCGGUCGCGUUCCACCGCGCGAACGCUAGGCUGUGGAUGGUACCCGCAGGGCUCGUCCUCCUCGGAACCCCGCUCGUCGCCUGGCUCUCCGUCUUUGCCUCCGGCCCGUGCGACCGCUCCAGGGCGCCGCCGCCGGCCGCCUUCGGAGCUUAA